rnacentral:rRNA from 1 species
CAGCCGCCGCGGUAAUACGUAGGGUGCAAGCGUUAAUCGGAAUUACUGGGCGUAAAGCGUGCGCAGGCGGUUAUAUAAGACAGAUGUGAAAUCCCCGGGCUCAACCUGGGAACUGCAUUUGUGACUGUAUAGCUAGAGUACGGCAGAGGGGGAUGGAAUUCCGCGUGUAGCAGUGAAAUGCGUAGAUAUGCGGAGGAACACCGAUGGCGAAGGCAAUCCCCUGGGCCUGUACUGACGCUCAUGCACGAAAACGUGGGGAGCAAACAGGAUUAGAUACCCGCGUAGUCCCUGUCUCUUAUAA